rnacentral:rRNA from 1 species
AAAGACCUACGGGGCGCAGCAGUGGGGAAUUUUGCGCAAUGGGGGGAACCCUGACGCAGCAACGCCGCGUGCGGGACGAAGGCCCUCGGGUUGUAAACCGCUUUCAGCAGGGAAGAUCCAAGACGGUACCUGCAGAAGAAGCUCCGGCUAACUACGUGCCAGCAGCCGCGGUAAUACGUAGGGGGCGAGCGUUAUCCGGAUUCAUUGGGCGUAAAGCGCGCGUAGGCGGCCGCCUAAGCGGGACCUCUAACCCCGGGACUCAACCCCGGGCCGGGUCCCGGACUGGGCGGCUCGAGUGCGGUAGG